GUAAAAAAACGGCUGCCAUAGUUUCCAUCUUUUGAACUCAGAAGAAAGUAGAACUCGAUGAUUUCAAUGGCGAAUCAAUCAUGGACUGAGAGUAUUCGAAGCAAUAGAAGUUGGACUAUCCUCUCUGGUUUGAUUUAACUCUUCCAUUACAAAUACAAUCAUCACAAAAAAGGAAAAAAAGGCUUCGCUGUUUGACUGUGGUGAUAAAUGGCGCAGAUUCCUUGACGGUUGAUUUGGGCUCUAUAAUGAAUUAGGAUUCAAUAUGGUUUUAUGUAAAUUUUAUUGCUGUGCAGGGAAGGAGUUGUAAUGCCUCAAAAAUCAGAACCAACAGAGUACACGAUCGGUGUUUGCUAAAAUGCGUAAAUGAAUUGAUUAUUUUUUAUGCUAUUGUAAGGCUGUUGUUGCCGAAUGAGGGGUUUGAUGGGUCCAGGCGGUGUUAAAUGUUGUCAUCAGUUGGAGGACAAGGUCUGGCUAGGAGGCGGAGUUGUGUUUGUCAUCAGAGAAUACUCACUGAGCAUGCAGAUGUCAUAACUUUUGAUGGCGAGGAAGAAGAUUUGAAAGAAAUACUACACAUCUAGAGUUCGCGGAUAUUCCUUUGGGAGAGUUCAUCAAGAACGCCCUAAUGCGUUGUAUGCUAGACGAGCUAGCAAGAAUAUGUAAUACUCUAUUUCGUGCUUUUAUUUUUGUACAACAAAUUUCAUUGGGUAAUAAAGUUUUGUCAUAAAAAACGGAAAUCAGUAGUAAGAAAUCUAUGAGAAGGUUUAAGUAGGUAAUUCAAGUACCUGAAAAGAGUUGGUUUUAUGAUCCAAUUUCAUUGAAGUUUAUUGGAAUAUAUAGGAAUUCCAUCAAAAAUUAAGGGAGGAUAAUAACUGUAGAGGAGAUCAAUUAGAUUCAUAGUGGUUUACCAUAAUUAUGCUGCUAACCCUGGGAAGAAUGUGACCCUUAAGGAAAAACUUGGGUGACCCUUGAGGAAAAACUAACUUUUUUGUUUUUUAUAUUUUGUUUGAAGCAUUUUGUUUAUGGAUAAGACAUCCGUCAAAGUAAAGACCUAACUAUUCUUUGAUCAAACUACCAAUGCUUGGACGGUUAAUGGCAUUAGUGUUUAUUUGUGGAUGCUUAUGGAUUGCUGCUCUCGAAGUUGCAGCUGCAAUGGCGAUUCAGACAGCUUGGGUUAGUUGUGAAUCUAAAUUAUGAGUUCUUGAGAUUUCAGUUGAAGGCAGAAAUUUGCAGCAGUCAGAUUGGGGAAUGGGGAAUGAUGUUGAUCUGAGUUUGUUGUGGGGUUAGCUAAUUAGCUUUGCAAGGUGGACGGUGGUAGAAAUGAGAAUUUGUUGGUCAAUAGACACAGGCGGUGAUGGAGUAAAUUUGCUGGUGGUAAUGGGUUUUAUCUACAUGAGAUUUGCAAGCUAAUUGAAGACAAAUUACUGAUACCGAAGGAAGUAAUGGUUGUGUUGGCUCGAUGGGGUUAGAUGAGUGUUUAGAGUUCAGGAAAGCUUUGAUGAUAGUGGAGAUAUUC